rnacentral:rRNA from 1 species
UACGAAGGGGGCUAGCGUUGUUCGGAAUUACUGGGCGUAAAGCGUGCGCAGGCGGCUUCUCAAGUCAGGGGUGAAAGCCCAGAGCUCAACUCUGGAAUUGCCUUUGAGACUGAGUGGCUUGAGUACGAGAGAGGUGAGUGGAAUUCCCAGUGUAGAGGUGAAAUUCGUAGAUAUUGGGAAGAACACCGGUGGCGAAGGCGGCUCACUGGCUCGUAACUGACGCUGAGGCACGAAAGUGUGGGGAUCAAACAGG